rnacentral:rRNA from 1 species
CCUACGGGGGGCAGCAGUGAGGAAUAUUGGUCAAUGGUCGCGAGCCUGAACCAGCCAAGCCGCGUGAAGGAUGAAGGUACUGAGUAUCGUAAACCUCUUUUGUAAGGGAACAAAGGCAGGGACGUGUCCCCGUAUGAGUGUACUUGAUGAAUAAGCAUCGGCUAACUCCGUGCCAGCAGCCGCGGUAAUACGGAGGAUGCGAGCGUUAUCCGGAUUUAUUGGGUUUAAAGGGAGCGUAGACGGGUUGUUAAGUCAGUUGUCAAAGCUUGAGGCUCAACCGUGGAACUGCAGUUGAUACUGGCAGUCUCGAGUACAGGAGAGGUAUGCGGAAUUCGUGGUGUAGCGGUGAAAUGCAUAGAUAUCACGCAGAACUCCGAUUGCGAAGGCAGCAUGCU